UCCCAGACUCCUACGGGAGGCAGCAGUGAGGAAUAUUGGUCAAUGGGCGAGAGCCUGAACCAGCCAAGUCGCGUGAAGGAUGACGGCCCUACGGGUUGUAAACUUCUUUUGUCAGGGAGCAAUUGGGUCCACGCGUGGGCUUAGCGAGAGUACCUGAAGAAAAAGCAUCGGCUAACUCCGUGCCAGCAGCCGCGGUAAUACGGAGGAUGCGAGCGUUAUCCGGAUUUAUUGGGUUUAAAGGGUGCGUAGGCGGGCUGUUAAGUCAGCGGUAAAAUGUCGGGGCUCAACCCCGGCCUGCCGUUGAAACUGGCGGCCUCGAGUGGGCGAGAAGUAUGCGGAAUGCGUGGUGUAGCGGUGAAAUGCAUAGAUAUCACGCAGAACUCCGAUUGCGAAGGCAGCAUACCGGCGCCCGACUGACGCUCAGGCACGAAAGCGUGGGUAUCGAACAGGAUUAGAUACCCCGGUA
rnacentral:rRNA from 1 species